rnacentral:tRNA from 1 species
GAGAUAAAAUUAAGGAAAAGCUUCUAACUUUACCCAUUAGCAAUGAAAAUAUGUUAUUAUCUCC